rnacentral:rRNA from 1 species
AGCGAACGCUGGCGGCAGGCUUAACACAUGCAAGUCGAGCGGGCGUAGCAAUACGUCAGCGGCAGACGGGUGAGUAACGCGUGGGAACGUACCUUUUGGUUCGGAACAACACAGGGAAACUUGUGCUAAUACCGGAUAAGCCCUUACGGGGAAAGAUUUAUCGCCGAAAGAUCGGCCCGCGUCUGAUUAGCUAGUUGGUGAGGUAACGGCUCACCAAGGCGACGAUCAGUAGCUGGUCUGAGAGGAUGAUCAGCCACAUUGGGACUGAGACACGGCCCAAACUCCUACGGGAGGCAGCAGUGGGGAAUAUUGGACAAUGGGGGAACCCUGAUCCAGCCAUGCCGCGUGAGUGAUGAAGGCCUUAGGGUUGUAAAGCUCUUUCACCCUACGACGAUGA